CCUUCUUUAGCUCAGUUGGAAGAGCAUCAGACUGUAAUUGGAUGAUUAAGUAAUCUGGGUGUCGCCUGUUCGAACCAGGCAAGAAGGA